rnacentral:rRNA from 1 species
AUUGAACGCUGGCGGCAUGCCUUACACAUGCAAGUCGAACGGGCAGCACGGGUGCUUGCACCUGGUGGCGAGUGGCGAACGGGUGAGUAAUACAUCGGAACGUACCUUAUCGUGGGGGAUAACGCAGCGAAAGCUGUGCUAAUACCGCAUACGCCCUGAGGGGGAAAGCGGGGGAUCGAAAGACCUCGCGCGAUUAGAGCGGCCGAUGCCUGAUUAGCUUGUUGGUGGGGUAAAAGCCCACCAAGGCGACGAUCAGUAGCUGGUCUGAGAGGACGAUCAGCCACACUGGGACUGAGACACGGCCCAGACUCCUACGGGAGGCAGCAGUGGGGAAUUUUGGACAAUGGGGGAAACCCUGAUCCAGCAAUGCCGCGCGAGUGAAGAAGGCCUC